CUGCUCCUGGCCCGUCGGAGAUGGCGUGGCUGAACCGAAAGCCCACCACGAAUCCGCCGCAUGUGAAGUUGGUCAGCUGCAAUUGGUAAGAAAGCACAAGACUUUGAGCAACAACAGCGUCUUCCUCUUCCGCUUUAGCUGGAUCUAGGGGAGAAGUGAAGAGGAACGGACAGGAACAGAUAGAUCGGAUUGCUCAGCAAAACCAUUCCUAUGAGAGGGAGAUCAAGGGUUUGCGAAGAAUCAGAACACUGGGGGUGGUGGGGGGUGGGGUUCAUUGGCCCGAUUGAGAUCUAAUUGUUGCGGGAUCCAUAUCGAUUCCAGAUUGAGGAAGAAGAAAUGGCACCUGGACCAUCAAAACGAGGCUUUCCUCCUCCGCCUGCUCCAGCUGGGGUUGGGGACGAGGCAGGAGCUCGUCCUUGGAUAUCAUCAACGGGUGCUCCAGGUAGUCCAACUCCCGCAGGCGGCAGUCGGCGGACGCCUCGAUGAACCACACCCCGGCCUCGUUGCAGGCGACCUGGAGCUCCCCCUGCUCCGACACGGUGAGCCGGCCGGCGAGGGGGUAGUAGUGGACCAAGGCCUUGGCCAGGGCGCCGCGAAUCGCUGCCGCGGGGUCGCCGUCGCUGCGGUCGAACACGUGGAGGGACUCGAUGAGGGCUCUCUGCGUCGGGUAGCGGUCGAGCCACGAGAGCCGGAGGGUGCCGGUCGGCGUCGGCUCCGCCGGGACGACCAGCUUCUGCGACAGCCUCGUCACGGAGAUGGUCCUGUUCAUCGCGGCCAUGCAGGAAGAGGUCUCUGUGGUCGUGAUGGUUGAGUUGGGAUCCGAGCUUUUAUGGUGUCAUAGAGCGGGCAUCCGGGCUGCUGCUUCUUCCUCUCGGUCUUCUUCUUUGCGAGGACCGAGGUCGACAUGGGAUGCUUGGACCAGUUGUUGCGUGUGGAAAUGUAUGCAUCAUGUGUCGUGGAAGCCAAUCACAGAGACCAACUACCCAAACAAGAGACGCCCGACCCACUCCACGCCCCUAGUGUGCCCAACACCUGUUUGAUUAAUUGACCAUAUGGAGUUUGCACCCACUUCCAACCUUAGAUUAAAUUCCCCACAACCAAGCAAAUAUCAACAAAAACACAGUAGAGAUGGAAGGUGAAUUCACCCCACUGGAUUCUGAUUAGUUUGACUUUGGAAAAGGUCAAACUCAUGAACACACACAAUUACCAAGCUCAAUUUUCCUUCUUCCUUUUGCCCAUCAACAUAAGGCCUCACCAAUCUUGGCCAUCUAAUUCUUGUUUUUGUGGGUAGUCAGUAGCCCUCCAGUGGCACAUGUGGAUGCAGAAGUCAAGUUGGUGGCACCUCAAGCAACCCCUACUCAUUCAAAUCAUGGGGUGCAUGUUGACAUCCUAUCUAUGUGUAUCCAAGGUGGCAAGUCAACUCCCAUAAGUUGAGGAAGGACUAGUCAAAGAAACAACACUUUGGUGUAAACCAAAAAUAAACCCAAACCUAACUUAUGCAUUCUUUGAUCAGGUCAGAUCAUGUCACGUUAAGACUUGCUACUGCAUUUACUCUUUCUUUUGUGUAGUGCAGUGUGAUGCUGAAUGCUGAGCAAACAUAUCUUGACUUGGACUUGAUCAGAGCAACACAUGGAUCAAUUUUACCUGGUCAGAGGAGAAAACAAGGGGGAACUUUUCCCAGUCUUUGGACAUGUGGAUAAUAGGCUUAAAUUCCUAUAAUUAGAAGAGAGAUGGCUCUAAUUCAAUCUCCUUGAAUCUAUGAUAGUUUGGUAUGAUAAAUAGUUGAACUUUUGUAUCUUACUUGGUAAGAAGAUUGACUCUGAAUUAGGAUAUCUUGUAAAUUAGCAAUCCAAAUUCCUCUUGUGCAUGAAAUCUUGUAUUUUAGCCUUAAUUAGUCAAGUUCUAAUAGAGCUUGAAAAAAAUAUUGUAUCACUUUCUAUAAAGCUCAAUGAUAAUAAAAUAUUCAUGUAGUCGAUCCCAAAUAAUUGAAACAUUACGACUUA